AAAUUGAAGAGUUUGAUCAUGGCUCAGAUUGAACGCUGGCGGCAGGCCUAACACAUGCAAGUCGAACGGUAACAGGAAUCAGCUUGCUGAUUCGCUGACGAGUGGCGGACGGGUGAGUAAUGUCUGGGAAACUGCCUGAUGGAGGGGGAUAACUACUGGAAACGGUAGCUAAUACCGCAUAACGUCGCAAGACCAAAGAGGGGGACCUUCGGGCCUCUUGCCAUCGGAUGUGCCCAGAUGGGAUUAGCUAGUAGGUGGGGUAAAGGCUCACCUAGGCGACGAUCCCUAGCUGGUCUGAGAGGAUGACCAGCCACACUGGAACUGAGACACGGUCCAGACUCCUACGGGAGGCAGCAGUGGGGA
rnacentral:rRNA from 1 species